CAAACAGGAUUAGAUACCCUGGUAGUCCACGCCGUAAACGAUGAGCACUAAGUGUAGGGGAAACCCUGUGCUGUAGUUAACGCAAUAAGUGCUCCGCCUGAGUAGUACGUACGCAAGUAUGAAACUCAAAGGAAUUGACGGGACCCCGCACAAGCGGUGGAUCAUGUUGUUUAAUUCGAUGAUACGCGAAGAACCUUACCAGGUCUUGACAUCCCCCGCAAUGCUUUAGAGAUAAAGCGGAGGUAUCCGGGGAGACAGGUGGUGCAUGGUUGUCGUCAGCUCGUGUCGUGAGAUGUUGGGUUAAGUCCCGCAACGAGCGCAACCCUUAUUGCUAGUUACCAUCAUUGAGUUGGGGACUCUAGCGAGACUGCCAGCGAUAAGCUGGAGGAAGGUGGGGAUGACGUCAAAUCAUCAUGCCCCUUAUGACCUGGGCUACAAACGUGAUACAAUGGCUGGAACAAAGGGAGGCGAAGGGGUGACCUGGAGCGAAACUCAAAAAAACAGUCUCAGUUCGGAUUGAAGUCUGCAACUCGACUUCAUGAAGUCGGAAUCGCUAGUAAUCGCGGAUCAGAACGCCGCGGUGAAUACGUUCUCGGGGUUUGUACACACCGCCCGUCAAACCACGAAAGUCUACAAUACCCAAAGCCGGUGGCCUAACCGCAAGGAGGGAGCCGUUUAAGGUAGGGUCGAUGAUUGGGGUUAAGUCGUAACAAGGUAUCCCUACGGGAACGUGGGGAUG
rnacentral:rRNA from 1 species